rnacentral:rRNA from 1 species
AAUAUUGGUCAAUGGUCGGAAGACUGAACCAGCCAUGCCGCGUGAGGGAGGAAGGCCCUAUGGGUUGUAAACCUCUUUUAGCCGGGAGUAAUAAGGGCGGUGCGCCGUCCGAUGAGAGUACCGGCGGAAUAAGCAUCGGCUAACUCCGUGCCAGCAGCCGCGGUAAUACGGAGGAUGCGAGCGUUAUCCGGAUUUAUUGGGUUUAAAGGGUGCGCAGGCGGCGCGGCAAGUCAGCGGUGAAAUGUCCCGGCUCAACCGGGGAGCUGCCGCUGAUACUGUUGUGCUGGAGUGCGGACGGCGCCGGCGGAAUGAGUGGUGUAGCGGUGAAAUGCAUAGAUAUCACUCAGAACACCGAUCGCGAAGGCAGCUGGCGAGGCCGUAACUGACGCUGAGGCACGAAAGCGUGGGGAUCAAACAG